UUGCUUUGGCAGCACAUAUACUAAAAUUAGAAUCAUACAGAGAAGAUUAGCCUGGAUCCUGUGCAAUAAUUCUUGAAGUGUUCCAUAUUAAA
rnacentral:snRNA from 1 species